GGUCCUACGGGACGCAGCAGUGGGGAAUAUUGCACAAUGGGCGAAAGCCUGAUGCAGCAACGCCGCGUGAAGGAAGAAGGCUUUCGGGUUGUAAACUUCUUUUAUGAGGGACGAAACAAAUGACGGUACCUCAUGAAUAAGCCACGGCUAACUACGUGCCAGCAGCCGCGGUAAUACGUAGGUGGCAAGCGUUAUCCGGAUUUACUGGGUGUAAAGGGCGUGUAGGCGGGACUGCAAGUCAGAUGUGAAAAUUAUGGUCUCAACCCAUAACCUGCAUUUGAAACUGUAGUUCUUGAGUGUUGGAG
rnacentral:rRNA from 1 species